GAGGCGCGGCGGGCGAUGGAGGCAGGCGGCGAGGCGCGGGCCGGGCUCGGGUUGUUUUCUCGCUUCCGCAGCGCGUUGGGAGCCCGCGGCCUGCAGGACAUCAGCGGCGACGGCGGGGUGCGCAAGCAGGUGCUGCGCCCCGGCACCGGGCAGCCCGUGCCGCCGGCUGCCACCGUGGCGGUGAAGUACUCCGGGUAUCUGGAGCAUAUGGAGAAACCCUUCUGCACAAACUGCACCAAGAAGCUCCCGAGGCUGAUGAAGCUUGGAAAAGACAUUACACUGGGGGGUCUGGAAAUUGGUGUGCUCACCAUGAAGAAGGGAGAGGUGGCAAGAUUUAUCUUCUCGCCGAGUUAUGCCUAUGGCCAGCAGGGCUGCCUUCCUCUGAUCCCCCCAGAUGCCACGGUCUUAUUUGAAGUGGAGUUGAUAGACUUCCUGGACUCUGCUGACUCUGACACAUUCUUUGCGUUGACAGCUGAGCAGCAGGAUACAUUUCCGCUACAAAAGGUGUUGAAAGUGGCAGGCAUGGAGAGAGAGUUUGGCAAUUAUCUCUUCCGUAAGCAGUACUUUGAGGGUGCCAAAGACAGAUACAAAAGGGCAUACUCCAUCCUUGGUCGCAACCCUUCCACUGAGGCAGAGCAGUGUCAGAUUGAUGCUUCCAAGUUGCUGGUGCUACUGAAUCUCUCAAUUACCUACCUGAAGCUGGAAAGUCCUGCCCGAGCUCUGAUGUAUGGGGAAAAAGCCUUGGAGAUUGACGAAAGAAACGUCAAGGCGCUGUUCAGGUGUGGCCAGGCUUGUCUCUGCAUGACAGAAUACGAAAAAGCUCGGGACUUCCUGAUCAGAGCUCAGCAUAUAGAGCCGUUUAACCACGAUAUUAACAAUGAACUGAAGAAGUUGGCAAGCUACUACAAAGACUACUUAGACAAGGAGAAAGAAAUGUGCUGCCGAAUGCUUGCUGCUCUCAACUCUUCUUCAUGACCAGGAAUAAAGUCUGGUUUCUUGGAGGAGCAUUUGAGCAUGGAGAUCUGAGGCAUUGUGUAUCGUCUUGAGCAUGGAGGAUGUUUUUCACUCCUUGUGGUGUUCAGUGGACUUCCCCAGCUGAUGAAAGGAACGGUCCUUGGGCAAAAAGGAGACCUACCCCUGGGCACAUGGACAUUUUGGUGUUGGAUCUGUGUUUUGGGAGAAGCAUAAUGUGGAGGUUCUCUUGGUAUAUAAACAACGUGAUUUUCCUGAAUAUGGUUUAUUUAGCAUGUUCUAGGGCUGUUUCUAGAAGAACCAAGCCUUGUCUUCUUCCAUGAACAUUCCCUGAAGAAUACUUUCUUGACAUCCUACCUCUUGCGGAUUAUGGGUUGCUUUAAGGGAAUCUGAAAAUACAAGUAGGAUGCCAUGAAGUUUUGUAUUGCUUAUACAGAUUGUUCUUUAAAAGGUUAUGCUUAAUAUUGUUUUUGUUCUGAGAAAAUAAACCAAUCUGAGAACUA